CGUUCAUAUGACGCUGAAACACCGAUUCCAGUACGAUCACCGAAGUUAAGCAACAUUGAGCUUAGUCAGUACCUAGAUGGGUAGCUGUUUGGAAAUAGCAGCUGAUGUA